UGUCUGCUUCUCACAGAGUUGCUAGGGGCAAGUGCUGAGGCAGGCACCUGCCCUCAGGCUCCCCAGGUGGGCUGCUAUUUGCCUGUGGGCUCUGCCUGCCCGCCUGUCCAGUCCCCAGGGAUCUGAACUCCUGUGACCUCCCCCUUGCUCUUCUUGCCCUUUGCAUUGCCUGGCUUGGCCUCAUUAAUGUCCCCAAAUCUGUGUUCUCUCCAGCUCCUCUGGCAACCCCUGACCCCCUUCAUUCCUCACAGCCAGUCCUAACUCCCCUCCAUCCCAACCCCAAUCCCUCUUCCACAGCUGUCGGAACAUCCCCUAAGCUAAAAAUCAGAUUGCUCCUUGUCACCUUGGCUCGAGUCCUCUCUCCCACUCCCCUCACUGUCCUUAGAAUCCCCAUGGCCCACACGGCCUGUCCUGGCCCCACCCCUGCCUGGGGCUCUGGCCCUGUGACUCACCAUGUCCCGUUCCCCUCUGCACCCUGCAUCCUCUAGGCCUUUCCAGGGGCUGUGUUC
rnacentral:lncRNA from 10 species